rnacentral:rRNA from 1 species
AUUGAACGCUGGCGGCAGGCUUAACACAUGCAAGUCGAACGAGUGGCGGACGGGUGAGUAAUGCCUGGGAAUCUAGCUUAUGGAGGGGGAUAACUACGGGAAACUGUAGCUAAUACCGCGUACCAUAGGAUGAGCCCAAGUGGGAUUAGGUAGUUGGUGAGGUAAGGGCUCACCAAGCCGACGAUCCCUAGCUGGUCUGAGAGGAUGAACAGCCACACUGGGACUUAGACACGGCCCAGACUCCGACGGGAGGCAGCAGUGGGGAAUAUUGCGCAAUGGGGGCAACCUGACGCAGCCAUGCCGCGUGAAUUAAGAAGGCUUUCGGGUUGUAAAGUUCUUUCGGUAGCGAGGCGGUAACUACAGAAGAAGCACCGGCUAACUCCGUGCCAGCAGCCGCGGUAAUAC